AUAAAACAAAACAUGGAUACCAGAUGCCAAUCAAUGGACUUAUACUAGUCUCCUACUAUAUCAUAGGAUACAACUGCCAAUCAAUGGUCCUAUGCUUGCCUCCUCCAUGGACAAAACAAGAUGCUAUAAAGCAAAGUUUAUGAAAUGAUAUACAAAUGAUGAUGAUAAAUGCACAAAGGUACACUCAAGCAAAUAUGCACAGAUGAAUAAAGUAAACAACAAACAAGUCAAUUAGCACACACACUAUAUACAAUCAAUUAGGCUCAAGCAAGGUUAGGC
rnacentral:lncRNA from 1 species